rnacentral:rRNA from 1 species
CACGUAUGGGGCGAGCGUUGUUCGGAAUUAUUGGGCGUAAAGGGCGCGUAGGCGGCUUUUGAAAGCUUGGUGUUAAAGGCUCUGGCUCAACCAGAGUUUGGCGCUGAGAACUGCGAGGCUGGAGUUUAGGAGGGGAAGCUGGAAUUCCAGGUGUAGGGGUGAAAUCUGUAGAUAUCUGGAAGAACACCGGUGGCGAAGGCGAGCUUCUAUCCAUAGACUGACGCUGAUGCGCGAAAGCGUGGGGAGCGAACAGGAUUAGAUACCCCCGUA